UUAAAUUGAAGAGUUUGAUCAUGGCUCAGAUUGAACGCUGGCGGCAGGCCUAACACAUGCAAGUCGAACGGUAACAGGAAGCAGCUUGCUGCUUCGCUGACGAGUGGCGGACGGGUGAGUAAUGUCUGGGAAACUGCCUGAUGGAGGGGGAUAACUACUGGAAACGGUGGCUAAUACCGCAUAACGUCGCAAGACCAAAGAGGGGGACCUUCGGGCCUCUUGCCAUCAGAUGUGCCCAGAUGGGAUUAGCUAGUUGGUGAGGUAACGGCUCACCAAGGCGACGAUCCCUAGCUGGUCUGAGAGGAUGACCAGCCACACUGGAACUGAGACACGGUCCAGACUCCUACGGGAGGCAGCAGUGGGGAAUAUUGCACAAUGGGCGCAAGCCUGAUGCAGCCAUGCCGCGUGUAUGAAGAAGGCCUUCGGGUUGUAAAGUACUUUCAGCGGGGAGGAAGGUGUUGUGGUUAAUAACCGCAGCAAUUGACGUUACCCGCAGAAGAAGCACCGGCUAACUCCGUGCCAGCAGCCGCGGUAAUACGGAGGGUGCAAGCGUUAAUCGGAAUUACUGGGCGUAAAGCGCACGCAGGCGGUCUGUCAAGUCGGAUGUGAAAUCCCCGGGCUCAACCUGGGAACUGCAUUCGAAACUGGCAGGCUUGAGUCUUGUAGAGGGGGGUAGAAUUCCAGGUGUAGCGGUGAAAUGCGUAGAGAUCUGGAGGAAUACCGGUGGCGAAGGCGGCCCCCUGGACAAAGACUGACGCUCAGGUGCGAAAGCGUGGGGAGCAAACAGGAUUAGAUACCCUGGUAGUCCACGCCGUAAACGAUGUCUACUUGGAGGUUGUGCCCUUGAGGCGUGGCUUCCGGAGCUAACGCGUUAAGUAGACCGCCUGGGGAGUACGGCCGCAAGGUUAAAACUCAAAUGAAUUGACGGGGGCCCGCACAAGCGGUGGAGCAUGUGGUUUAAUUCGAUGCAACGCGAAGAACCUUACCUGGUCUUGACAUCCACAGAACUUUCCAGAGAUGGAUUGGUGCCUUCGGGAACUGUGAGACAGGUGCUGCAUGGCUGUCGUCAGCUCGUGUUGUGAAAUGUUGGGUUAAGUCCCGCAACGAGCGCAACCCUUAUCCUUUGUUGCCAGCGGUCCGGCCGGGAACUCAAAGGAGACUGCCAGUGAUAAACUGGAGGAAGGUGGGGAUGACGUCAAGUCAUCAUGGCCCUUACGACCAGGGCUACACACGUGCUACAAUGGCGCAUACAAAGAGAAGCGACCUCGCGAGAGCAAGCGGACCUCAUAAAGUGCGUCGUAGUCCGGAUUGGAGUCUGCAACUCGACUCCAUGAAGUCGGAAUCGCUAGUAAUCGUGGAUCAGAAUGCCACGGUGAAUACGUUCCCGGGCCUUGUACACACCGCCCGUCACACCAUGGGAGUGGGUUGCAAAAGAAGUAGGUAGCUUAACCUUCGGGAGGGCGCUUACCACUUUGUGAUUCAUGACUGGGGUGAAGUCGUAACAAGGUAACCGUAGGGGAACCUGCGGUUGGAUCACCUCCUUACCUUAAAGAA
rnacentral:rRNA from 1 species